UCAUGUGUUUCAUUUUUCUUUCAGAUCGUAUAAACCAGUCGAUGCUCAUCACCGGCGAGUCUGGGGCCGGCAAGACUGAGAACACGAAGAAGGUGCUGUCCUACUUCGCUAACGUCGGUGCAAGUGAAAAGAAAGGAGAGAAAAAACAG